ACGUUCGACACCUACGGGAGGCAGCAGUCGAGAAUAAUUCACAAUGGGGGCAACCCUGAUGGUGCAACGCCGCGUGGAGGAUGACGGUCUUCGGAUUGUAAACUCCUGUCAUCUGGGAGUAAGGCAUGGUUGUUAAUAGCAAACAUGAUUGAUAGUACCAGAAGAGGAAGGGACGGCUAACUUCGUGCUAGCACGCCGACGGUAAUCUGAGGCGGGCUGGACAAGGC
rnacentral:rRNA from 1 species